CCUCCGAAGUUUCCCUCAGGAUAGCUGGUACAUUCAAAAUUAUGUAAAAUAAUCUUAUCUGGUAAAGCGAAUGAUUAGAGGCCUUAGGGUCGAAACGACCUUAACCUAUUCUCAAACGUUAAAUGGGUAAGAACCACACCUUUCUUGGUAUGAAGGAGUGGUUGUGAUAUAAUGUGCCCAGUGGGCCAUUUAUGGUAAGCAGAACUGGCGUUGUGGGAUGAACCAAACGAAGUGUUACGGUGCCCUGCCAAUACCACGUUGAAACAAUUCCGGUGAAUAAUAUCGCUAAAAUCGUCAAAGUACCGAAUAUCGGGAGG
rnacentral:ncRNA from 2 species